GCGUCCGGUGUGCCUGGGGGGGCGGUGAUGUGGAGGGGGAAAGCGUGGAUUGGAUUGACUGGGCGGAAAGGGCGUGUAGGCGGCCGGUUAAGUCCGGUGUGAAAGCCCGGGGCUCAACCACGGAAGUGCAUCGGAAACUAGGCGACUUGAGGAUGAUAGAGGAGGGUGGAAUUCCUGGUGUAGCGGUGAAAUGCGUAGAUAUCAGGAGGAAUACCGGCGGCGAAGGCGGCCCUCUGGAUGGUUGCUGACGCUGAGACGCGAAAGCGUGGGGAGCAAACAGGAUUAGAUACCCUAGUAGUC
rnacentral:rRNA from 1 species